AACGUAGGUGGCAAGCGUUAUCCGGAUUUACUGGGCGUAAAGAGCCCGCGGGCGGUCUGGCAGGUCGGUUGUGAAAUCUCCUGGCUCAACUGGGAGGGUGCGACCGAAACCGCAAGACUUGAGGGCCGGAGAGGGGCAUGGAAUUCCCGGAGUAGUGGUAAAAUGCGUUGAGAUCGGGAGGAACACCAGUGGCGAAGGCGAUGCUCUGGCCGGCACCUGACGCUUAGGGGCGAAAGCGUGGGGAGCGAAC
rnacentral:rRNA from 1 species